rnacentral:rRNA from 1 species
UACAGAGGUGGCAAGCGUUGUUCGGAAUUACUGGGCGUAAAGGGCGCGUAGGCGGCUUGGUCAGUCCCGUGUGAAAUCCCUCGGCUCAACUGAGGAACUGCACGGGAAACUGCCUGGCUUGAGUUCGGGAGAGGGAAGCGGAAUUCCGGGUGGUAGCGGUGAAAGUGCGUAGAUAUCCGGAGGAACACCGGUGGCGAAGGCGGCUCCUGGACCGACACUGACGCUGAGGAGCGAAAGCGUGGGGAGCGAAC